AGUGAACGCUGGCGGUAGGCCUAACACAUGCAAGUCGAACGGCAGCACAGAGGAGCUUGCUCCUUGGGUGGCGAGUGGCGGACGGGUGAGGAAUACAUCGGAAUCUACUCUGUCGUGGGGGAUAACGUAGGGAAACUUACGCUAAUACCGCAUACGACCUACGGGUGAAAGCAGGGGAUCUUCGGACCUUGCGCGAUUGAAUGAGCCAAUGUCGGAUUAGCUAGUUGGCGGGGUAAAGGCCCACCAAGGCGACGAUCCGUAGCUGGUCUGAGAGGAUGAUCAGCCACACUGGAACUGAGACACGGUCCAGACUCCUGCGGGAGGCAGCAGUGGGGAAUAUUGGACAAUGGGCGCAAGCCUGAUCCAGCCAUACCGCGUGGGUGAAGAAGGCCUUCGGGUUGUAAAGCCCUUUUGUUGGGAAAGAAAUCCAUCUGGUUAAUACCCGGGUGGGAUGACGGUACCCAAAGAAUAAGCACCGGCUAACUUCGUGCCAGCCGCCGCAGUAA
rnacentral:rRNA from 1 species